rnacentral:rRNA from 1 species
UACGGGGGGGGCAAGCGUUGUUCGGAAUUACUGGGCGUAAAGGGCUCGUAGGUGGCCAACUAAGUCAGACGUGAAAUCCCUCGGCUUAACCGGGGAACUGCGUCUGAUACUGGAUGGCUUGAGUUUGGGAGAGGGACGCGGAAUUCCAGGUGUAGCGGUGAAAUGCGUAGAGAUGUGGAGGAACACCGAUGGCGAAGGCAGCCCCCUGGGGUAACACUGACGCUCAUGCACGAAAGCGUGGGGAGCAAACAGG